rnacentral:rRNA from 1 species
CAGUAGCCGCGGUAAUACGUAGGGUGCAAGCGUUACUCGGAAUUACUGGGCGUAAAGCGUGCGUAGGUGGUGGUUUAAGUCCGUUGUGAAAGCCCUGGGCUCAACCUGGGAAUUGCAGUGGAUACUGGGUCACUAGAGUGUGGUAGAGGAUAGUGGAAUUUCCGGUGUAGCAGUGAAAUGCGUAGAGAUCGGAAGGAACAUCUGUGGCGAAGGCGACCAUCUGGGUCAACACUGACACUGAGGCGCGAAAGCGUGGGGAGCAAACAGGAUUAGAUACCCCCGUAGUCCCUGUCUCUUAUAC